rnacentral:rRNA from 1 species
GGGAAUCGGAACACAGGUGCUGCAUGGCUGUCGUCAGCUCGUGUCGUGAGAGUGUUCGGGUUAAGUCCCGUAACGAGCGCAACCCUUGUCCUUAGUUACCAGCACGUUAAGGUGGGCACUCUAAGGAGACUGCCGGUGACAAACCGGAGGAAGGUGGGGAUGACGUCAAGUCAUCAUGGCCCUUACGGCCUGGGCUACACACGUGCUACAAUGGUCGGUACAAAGGGUUGCCAAGCCGCGAGGUGGAGCUAAUCCCAUAAAACCGAUCGUAGUCCGGAUCGCAGUCUGCAACUCGACUGCGUGAAGUCGGAAUCGCUAGUAAUCGUGAAUCAGAAUGUCACGGUGAAUACGUUCCCGGGCCUU